rnacentral:rRNA from 1 species
AGUGAACGCUGGCGGUAGGCCAAACACAUGCAAGUCGAACGGCAGCACAGUAAGAGCUUGCUCUUACGGGUGGCGAGUGGCGGACGGGUGAGGAAUACAUCGGAAUCUACUUUUUCGUGGGGGAUAACGUAGGGAAACUUACGCUAAUACCGCAUACGACCUACGGGUGAAAGCAUGGGAUCUUCGGACCUUGCGCGAUUGAAUGAGCCGAUGUCGGAUUAGCUAGUUGGCGGGGUAAAGGCCCACCAAGGCGACGAUCCGUAGCUGGUCUGUGAGGAUGAUCGGCCACACUGGAACUGAGACACGGUCCAGACUCCUACGGGAGGCAGCAGUGGGGAAUAUUGGACAAUGGGCGCAAGCCUGAUCCAGCCAUACCGCGUGGGUGAAGAAGGCCUUCGGGUUGUAAAGCCCUUUUGUUGGGAAAGAAAAGCAGCAGGUUAAUACCCCGCUGUUCUGACGGUACCCAAAGAAUAAGCACCGGCUAACUUCGUG